rnacentral:ncRNA from 2 species
CUCUUAUCCCGAGCUGGUGGAGGGUCAGGCCCUAUGAAACCCGGCAACCUGCAAUACGAUUUUCGUAACGUGUUGGUGCCAACCUGAUGCAAGGAUAAUUCCUUGAACGAUAAGAG